UUCUGAUUAUCCUAUUCAAAGUUAAAAAACAUUUCUCCCGUUGCUCCCCCUCGGCUCCACUCCAGAACUUCUUCUUGUUCGUCUAUUUCUCUCUCUUCUUCUUCUUAUCCGACCCUCCUCUUCUUCUUCUCUCUCGCCACCACGUCGAGGAGAUCGAGACCAGUUUCGUGAUUUGGUUUCGAAAGAUGAUUGAAUCUAAAACUUGGGUAUUGAAGUGUGAGCAAAACCCAUCGAGGAAUUCGUGAGAGUCUCUUUGUUUUGGAUUUUCUGGAUAAAAAUAUAGGGGAUGUUGAACCUGUAAAACCCACAUCACUUGAGGAAGCACCAUUCAGGCCUGUGGAAGAAGUUAAAGAUUUGAAGGAGUUAGCUGCUAAAUUGCGGAGUGUGAAUGACUUUGCGGGCCUUGAAAGUCAUUGAGCUUGAUCAGAAAGCAGAAUUAGUCCUUGAGCUUGAUGGCAUGUCAUGAGAUGUGUCCAUGACCAGAAUGGGAAUCAUGUGGUACAAAAGUGUAUAAAAUGUGUACCUAUGGAAAAAAUUGGAUUUAUUAUUUUUGCUUUUCGAGGACAAGUUGCCAUGCUCUCGACACACCCAUAUGGUUGUCGUAUUAUUCAGAGAGUUUUGGAGCAUUGUUCAGAUGAACAACAAGGUCAAUGUAUAGUGGAUGAAAUUUUGGAAUCUGCUUAUGUUCUUGCUCAGGGCUAGUAUGGGAGCUAUGUUACCCAGGUAUGUAUUGUGUGCUUUGUGCCGUUUACUUAAUUCUUUAAUUGUUGUUGGGUAGAAUCAACUGUCUAUUAAGUGCUUAGAAACAAGUCAAUUUCUCAUAAAAUGUUGUAUUUUUGCUUCUAUAUUCCAACGACAAAUAGCUUAUUAUUGUAUAUGCCUCAAAUUGACUUCUUUGAACUAGUUGAUUACCAAGCUUACUAGUCCUGAUUAGACUUGUAGUUCUCUUUAGCUUUUAGCACCGAGUUCAUAUACUUUGUUAAAUAGUUUAGUCAUUGUUGGCCUUCAUUCACCAAUGGUCUUAUGAUCUCACCGGUUCGUGAUAUAGUUUCCUGAACAAGUAUGUAUUUCAGUGAGAAGUAAUUUAUUACUCUUCUACUGCCGCAUAUGAAGAAAAACAAAAUUGUAUUAAUGUUCAGCUUAUAAUGUUAUUGUAUAAUAUGCUAUUUUUCGUGCC